rnacentral:rRNA from 1 species
CACGUAGUUAGCCGGGGCUUUCUGGUGAAGUACCGUCACACCAUCAUCAUUACCUAUGAUGGCUAUUCUUCCCUCACAACAGAGUUUUACAAUCAUUAAGACCUUCAUCACUCACGCGGCAUUGCUCGUUCACGGGUUUCCCCCAUUGACGAAUAUUCCUAACUGCUGCCUCCCGUAGGAGUUUGGACCGUAUCUCAGUUCCAAUGUGUCCGAUCAGCCUCUCAGCUCGGAUAUGCAUCGUAGUCUUGGUGGGCCAUUACCUCACCAACUAACUAAUACAACACAACGCCCAUCCUGAGGUGAAGCCGAAGCUCCUUUAGCAAUAAAUAGUUAUCUAUCUAUGAAUCAUCCGGUAUUAGCUUAUCGUUUACCAAUAGUUGUACCCAGUUCCGUUAGGGUACGGUUACCUGUGCUAUUACCUCACCCGUCUCGCCACUAAGUAGGAAAAUCCAAAAUCCUAAUUUUGUGCAACGCACGACUUAA